rnacentral:rRNA from 1 species
CGCUGGCGGCGUGCCUAAUACAUGCAAGUCGAGCGAACAGACGAGGAGCUUGCUCCUUUGACGUUAGCGGCGGACGGGUGAGUGACACGUGGGUAACCUACCUAUAAGACUGGGAUAACUUCGGGAAACCGGAGCUAAUACCGGAUAAUAUUUCGAACCGCAUGGUUCGAUAGUGAAAGAUGGCUCUGCUAUCACUUAUAGAUGGACCUGCGCCGUAUUAGCUAGUUGGUAAGGUAACGGCUUACCAAGGCAACGAUACGUAGCCGACCUGAGAGGGUGAUCGGCCACACUGGAACUGAGACACGGUCCAGACUCCUACGGGAGGCAGCAGUAGGGAAUCUUCCGCAAUGGGCGAAAGCCUGACGGAGCAACGCCGCGUGAGUGAUGAAGGUCUUCGGAUCGUAAAACUCUGUUAUUAGGGAAGAACAAACGUGUAAGUAACUGUGCACGUCUUGACGGUACCUAAUCAGAAAGCCACGGCUAACUACGUGCCAGCAGCCGCGGUAAUACGUAGGUGGCAAGCGUUAUCCGGAAUUAUUGGGCGUAAAGCGCGCGUAGGCGGUUUUUUAAGUCUGAUGUGAAAGCCCACGGCUCAACCGUGGAGGGUCAUUGGAAACUGGAAAACUUGAGUGCAGAAGAGGAAAGUGGAAUUCCAUGUGUAGCGGUGAAAUGCGCAGAGAUAUGGAGGAACACCAGUGGCGAAGGCGACUUUCUGGUCUGUAACUGACGCUGAUGUGCGAAAGCGUGGGGAUCAAACAGGAUUAGAUACCCUGGUAGUCC